UAACGGCUCACCAAGGCGACGAUUAGUUGCUGGUCUGAGAGGAUGAUCAGCCACAUUGCGGCUGAGACACGGCCCAUACUCCUACGGGAGGCAGCGGUGGGGAAUAUUGGACAAUGGCCGCAAGCCUGAUCCAGCCUGCCGCGUGAGUGAUGAAGGCCUUAUGGUUGUAAAGCUUUUUCGGUGGGGACGAUAAUGACGGUACCCGCAGAAGAAGCCGCUGCUAACUUCGUGCCAGCAGCCGCGGUAAUACGAAGGGUGCUAGCGUUGUUCGGUAUUACUGGUCGUGCAGCGUAUGUCGGCGGAUCGUUUAGUCGGGGGUGACAUCCCGCGGCUCAUCCUCGCUACUGCCUACGAUACUGGCGAUCUUCUCGUCCGGGAGAGGUGAGUGGAACUCCUGGUGUAGUGGUGAAAUU
rnacentral:rRNA from 1 species